rnacentral:rRNA from 1 species
UACGUAGGGUGCAAGCGUUGUCCGGAAUUAUUGGGCGUAAAGAGCUUGUAGGCGGCCAACUAAGUCCGACGUGAAAUCCCCAGGCUUAACCUGGGAACUGCGUCGGAUACUGGAUGGCUUGAAUUCGGGAGAGGGAUGCAGAAUUCCAGGUGUAGCGGUGAAAUGCGUAGAUAUCUGGAGGAAUACCGGUGGCGAAGGCGGCAUCCUGGACCGACAUUGACGCUGAUGAGCGAAAGCUAGGGGAGCAAACGGG